rnacentral:snoRNA from 1 species
CCAACGUGGCUAUACGUUUGAAAAAGAGGUCAUUCUUCCAGGAUCUGUCCUAGUGGCAGAGAGGAGCACAGGGCUCAGGGCACCUCCCUACCAGGAGCCAUCCUUGCCCACAGUGUUGGUGAGGAAGUCCGGCCUGGAGUCUUUGACUGUAUGUAUCUAAGACUUCUUACAGUUCUGUGGACAAGUGACUAAGGACAUGACCCUUGCAGAAAACCAUC